AAAGAAAAUCGUCAAAACCAUCUUUUUCUCAGGUUAGAACUUUGGACUACGUUACAAAAACUUGCUGGGAAUCUUGGCCCCUUCGUGAAGGUCGCGGGUUAAAAGGUUUGGGCUUUGUCACUGUGAAUGCACAGGCUUGCAUCUGCAACAGAGUUUAUGGCUAUGGAGGUUGAUUCUGAGAAACAACCGAUUAAAAGGGAGAUUAGCCCUGAACCUGACUCUAGUCCUCCUUGUCCCAAAAUAAGCAUACAUGAUUACUAUCUGUCUUCAGUUGGCUCUACUUCUAGCACACGUAUUGUUUAGGAAAAGGUCAUGUAUG